rnacentral:rRNA from 1 species
CCUACGGGUGGCAGCAGUGAGGAAUAUUGGUCAAUGGACGAGAGUCUGAACCAGCCAAGUAGCGUGAAGGAUGACUGCCCUAUGGGUUGUAAACUUCUUUUAUAAAGGAAUAAAACGAGGCACGUGUGCCUUUUUGCAUGUACUUUAUGAAUAAGGAUCGGCUAACUCCGUGCCAGCAGCCGCGGUAAUACGGAGGAUCCGAGCGUUAUCCGGAUUUAUUGGGUUUAAAGGGAGCGUAGAUGGGUUGUUAAGUCAGUUGUGAAAGUUUGCGGCUCAACCGUAAAAUUGCAAUUGAUACUGGCAGUCGUGAGUACAGUUGAGGUAGGCGGAAUUCGUGGUGUAGCGGUGAAAUGCUUAGAUAUCACGAAGAAACCCGAUUGCGAAGGCAGCUUACUAAACUGUGACUGACAUUGAUGCUCGAAAGUGUGGGUAUCAAACAGGAUUAGAUACCCUUGUAGUC